UCUCCGUAGGUGAACCUGCGGAGGGAUCAUUACAGAGUUCUCUCCCUCCCGAGUCGAUCUCCCACCCCCUGUUAUCGCUACUUUCUUUUCUUUUCCGGUCCACCGUGUCCACCGCCGCCUGCUUCUAAUAGUCAGCGCGCACCCGCCAAAAACCUUCAAACCCUGAAUUUUAGUUUCGUGUGAGUACUAAAUAAUAAUUAAAACUUUCAACAACAGAUCUCUUUGUUCUGGCAUCGAUGAAAAACCCAGCAGAUCCGACGAGCCGACGACUGAACUCAA
rnacentral:misc_RNA from 1 species